CCUACGGGAGGCAGCAGUGGGGAAUAUUGCACAAUGGGGGAAACCCUGAUGCAGCGACGCCGCGUGAGUGAAGAAGUAAUUCGUUAUGUAAAGCUCUAUCAGCAGGGAAGAAAAUGACGGUACCUGAGUAAGAAGCCACGGCGAACUACGUGCCAGCAGCCGCGGUAAUACGUAGGGGGCAAGCGUUAUCCGGAUUUACUGGGUGUAAAGGGAGCGUAGACGGCAGUGCAAGUCUGGAGUGAAAGGCUGGGGCUCAACCCCCGGACUGCUCUUGAAACUGUACGGCUGGAGUGCAGUAGAGGUAAGUGGAAUUCCUAGUGUAGCGGUGAAAUGCGUAGAUAUUAGGAGGAACACCAGUGGCGAAGGCGGCUUACUGGACUGUAACUGACGUUGAGGCUCGAAAGCGUGGGGAGCAAACAGGAUUAGAUACCCUUGUAGUC
rnacentral:rRNA from 1 species